UGGGGAAUAUUGGACAAUGGGCGAAAGCCUGAUCCAGCCAUGCCGCGUGUGUGAAGAAGGUCUUCGGAUUGUAAAGCACUUUAAGUUGGGAGGAAGGGCAGUAAGCGAAUACCUUGCUGUUUUGACGUUACCGACAGAAUAAGCACCGGCUAACUCUGUGCCAGCAGCAGCGGUAAUACAGAGGGUGCAAGCGUUAAUCGGAAUUACUGGGCGUAAAGCGCGCGUAGGUGGUUCGUUAAGUUGAAUGUGAAAGCCCCGGGCUCAACCUGGGAACUGCAUCCAAAACUGGCGAGCUAGAGUAGGGCAGAGGGUGGUGGAAUUUCCUGUGUAGCGGUGAAAUGCGUAGAUAUAGGAAGGAACACCAGUGGCGAAGGCGACCACCUGGGCUCAUACUGACACUGAGGUGCGAAAGCGUGGGGAGCAAACAGG
rnacentral:rRNA from 1 species